rnacentral:rRNA from 1 species
GAUGAACGCUGGCGGCGUGCCUAAUACAUGCAAGUCGAGCGAACAGACGAGGAGCUUGCUCCUCUGACGUUAGCGGCGGACGGGUGAGUAACACGUGGAUAACCUACCUAUAAGACUGGGAUCACUUUGGGAAACCGGAGCUAAUACCGGAUAAUAUAUUGAACCGCGUGGUUCAAUAGUGAAAGACGGUUUUGCUGUCACUUAUAGAUGGAUCCGCGCCGCAUUAGCUAGUUGGUAAGGUAACGGCUUACCAAGGCAACGAUGCGUAGCCGACCUGAGAGGGUGAUAGGCCACACGAGAACUGAGACACGGUCCAGACUCCUACGGGAGGCAGCAGUAGGGAAUCUUCCGCAAUGGGCGAAAGCCUGACGGAGCAACGCCGCGUGAGUGAUGAAGGUCUUCGGAUCGUAAAACUCUGUUAUUAGGGAAGAACAAAUGUGUAAGUAACUAUGCACGUCUUGACGGUACCUAAUCAGAAAGCCACGGCUAACUACGUG